rnacentral:lncRNA from 1 species
GAGGGUUACCCUAGUCCAAAUAAUUUAGACGUCUGGGCGUCCCAGAAUUUUUUUUUAGAAUAGCCUUGCCAGACGUCAUAAUUAUUUGGACUAGAGUUACCCCUCAUUUGGAGUGUUGUUCACAACCUGUAAAAGGUCCAUCUUCGUGCAUAAUUCAAAAUUGGAAAUUUCAACAAGCAUCAUAUAUUCUUACACAAGAAAAUAAACCCUGGUCUGCUAGCUACAUGUUCAUCUUUUCUACCGAUUUAAUAACUAGAAUCAUGCAAACAGACUUAAGAAAAAGGCAUGUAAGCUCAUCAUACAAAUAUGACACUUUUUCUAGACAAUCCAGAUCGUGCAAAAUACUUUU